AGUGAACGCUGGCGGUAGGCCUAACACAUGCAAGUCGAACGGCAGCACAGUAAGAGCUUGCUCUUACGGGUGGCGAGUGGCGGACGGGUGAGGAAUACAUCGGAAUCUACUUUUUCGUGGGGGAUAACGUAGGGAAACUUAUGCUAAUACCGCAUACGACCUACGGGUGAAAGCAGGGGAUCUUCGGACCUUGCGCGAUUGAAUGAGCCGAUGUCGGAUUAGCUAGUUGGCGGGGUAAAGGCCCACCAAGGCGACGAUCCGUAGCUGGUCUGAGAGGAUGAUCAGCCACACUGGAACUGAGACACGGUCCAGACUCCUACGGGAGGCAGCAGUGGGGAAUAUUGGACAAUGGGCGCAAGCCUGAUCCAGCCAUACCGCGUGGGUGAAGAAGGCUUUCGGGUUGUAAAGCCCUUUUGUUGGGAAAGAAAAGCAGCAGGUUAAUACCCCGCUGUUCUGACGGUACCCAAAGAAUAAGCACCGGCUAACUUCGUG
rnacentral:rRNA from 1 species